AUCAUAAUGAACAUUCAUUACCCUGAAAAAUGAUGAAAAUUAUUACACAUCCAAUUCAGUUCAUUGUUCUGCCUGAUAAAAGAGUUAGAAACUGCUUUCAAAUGGUCAAAGUAAGAGCAUUGUACAGAAAGUAUCUGUUCUACUAAUUCGACACUGCAAAAACUGCUAUAUUGUAAAGUUCAAGUAGCUUGACCUUCUAUAUUGUUAUAUUCUAUACAUGUGUUUUUGGUUCAAAUACUUCACGAAGAAAUGGUCUAGUUGCAUUUGUAUUUCAGAUUGCUGAAUUAUGUCUUAGUUAUGACUCAGAUGUUCUGCUGAUUGUCUUAAAAUUUUUGUUUUAUAAUUUUUUUGACAUGGUGUCAGGAAUAUUGGAGGGGAAAAAAAAAAAAGAACCCAGAUUGAGAAACUUGAGGCAAACUGAGGCAAAUAUGAGCAAACUUCAUCCACAUCAGAAAGGAACUUGCAGUUUUCACCAGCUAUUUCAACAUUCUGAGUUUCUGUUUUGUUAAAUUUCAUUGCCUAAGCCAACUUUUAUUGAGUGACCAUUGCAUACCCUUUACUAAUUACCCCUGGGGUUGCAUACAGAGAUAAAUCCAAUACUCUUCAUUGCAACCAUAGCAAAUUUGAAAUUCAGAAAUAUAACCAUUAGUGUUUUCUUCUAAAGUGAAAUUCAACUUGACAGAUGAUGCCUGAAGACCUAGUAUGUUCCAUGUAACCUGCUAAAUAUUUGAGAGUCACCACAGGCUACCAACUGGAAUAUGUAGCUUAUUGAGUAAUAUUGUAAAAUACCACCAAGGUGUUUACAGAACAUGAGUUAAAUUCUUUCUCAGAAUGCUAAUGUUUCUUGGAAAGGAAAUUCUGUUAAACCACAAAGAUGCUAUCAUCUUUCCAUUAUGAAGUCCCGUCCCCCUUGCGCCUUGGAGCAUGCAAUGUACUUUGUUCACACCAUCACCUACUUGGUAGAGAUGAGGAACUUGGAAGAACUUUCAGUAGCCCAUGAAUGUGUUAAGUUUUAAUGGGCACCUCAGUACAGGGCAAGAUUUGUUCCAGAAGCUAGAACAUUUGCUUACUAUUGUUUCACAUAUUCGAUCAUUUUAUUUAGUGAACAGUAUGUGUUGUAAGUAAUUAUUCCCUGC
rnacentral:lncRNA from 1 species